rnacentral:rRNA from 1 species
AGAAUCCUUCGGGAGGGAGACCAUUGUGACUGAGUGGCGGACGGGUGAGUAACGCGUGGGUAACCUGCCUUGUACAGGGGGAUAACAGUUGGAAACGACUGCUAAUACCGCAUAAGCGCACAGUACCGCAUGGUACGGUGUGAAAAACUCCGGUGGUACAAGAUGGACCCGCGUCUGAUUAGCUGGUUGGUGAGGUAACGGCCCACCAAGGCAACGAUCAGUAGCCGACUUGAGAGAGUGAUCGGCCACAUUGGGACUGAGACACGGCCCAAACUCCUACGGGAGGCAGCAGUAGGGAAUAUUGCACAAUGGGGGAAACCCUGAUGCAGCGACGCCGCGUGAAGGAAGAAGUAUUUCGGUAUGUAAACUUCUAUCAGCAAGGAAGAAAAUGACGGUACUUGACUAAGAAGCCCCGGCUAAAUACGUGCCAGCAGCCGCGGUAAUACGUAUGGGGCAAGCGUUAUCCGGAUUUACUGGGUGUAAAGGGAGCGUAGGCGGCAUGGCAAGUCAGAAGUGAAAGCCUGGGGCUCAACCC